rnacentral:lncRNA from 14 species
UCAUAGACUGGUUUGUGAAUAGGGAAGUUUAUAGUUUGAAACAUAAUUAGUUUCCUGGCAAUACUAAAUAACCUUUCUUCGUUUUCUAUGUAUGCUUUAAAAUAAUUAACUAUAGCAAACAUCCUCUUUUAUGUAUAUCUUAUGAGAGUUAAGAAGAAUCCUGAAGGGCCCACCAACAGAGAUGCAGUCAUAGCUGGGCUAUCUAAGGUUUUACCGGUCAGGUAAAGAGAAAUGGCCUUUGCCUUUCAGACGUUGGAAAGGCUGGAAUCGAUUCCCUCCCAAUGAAGCCCUUAGUAUGUACUUACCCCCUAACAAGUAGGUAAUGAAAAAUAGCCUACCGGGAAAGGGAGACAAGAAAAAGAUAGCUUGUGUCAGCAAGUAUCUUAAUUGCAAAAUGGAAGCCAAAACAGAGGGUUAAAAAUAGAACAGUUGAGCAUAGAAUGAAAGAAAAUAGAUUAAAAAAAAAAAGCUAUACCCCUGAAACACUCACCAAAGGCAAAUACACACCAGACAAAUGCUCAUUAGAGUCAAAACAUUCACGUGGGGUUCAAUAGCAAGUCUUUGGUGCUGUUCUUCCUUUUAUUAAUUGAGCUCUGCUCCCAACAUAUUCCUAAUCUCAGCUAUAUCAUCCCCUACAGUUGGGAUAGCUAUGCGCGAAUGGAAGAUCGUGUAAAAGUGGCAAGAUCCAGCUUCUUACCAGGAUACUCCUCAAGACAAACAGAGAGCUGACUUGAGUGGAUGUGUAUUCCUCUCCUCUCUCUGAUUAUCUUGAAACGGUAAACAGCGGCCAGGGCAACUGCUACCAAUUGAGUGCGAACUCCUGCAAUGCCCGCAUCUGACUUUCUACUCAACAGAAAUAACUCCUUAAGUGGGGUUGCCUUUAUGGCUUGUGUUCUCUUUUAUUCCAUGUCCCCUAACUUUAACUUUUAAUAUCCAAAUAACCUACACUAUAGCUCCAGUUCAUCAGAAACAUAAACUCAUACUUGUGUUCUGUGUAAUAAAUAAAAUGUAGUAUAUAAAUAUACAGUUCAAAUGUUCAAAAUGAAAACUGGCAGUUAUAAUGACCAUGGUCUUGCGAAUUAAGCUACAAAUAAAAAGCAA